UUUGACCUCUCAUGAGGUUCCUUCCAUGGAAACUUUGAUCUCCCGCAUGAUACGUGUUCCAACUCUUCAAACUCCAGAAACUCUUGCUGUAAUGGAACCAUCUGUCAUGGUUGCCACCCGAGGAAGAGGAGGUCGUGGAACUAGAGGGGGUGGACGUGGAGGUCGUGGGCGUCCUCAGUGUACGUAUUGUAAAAGGAUGGGUCAUACCCAAGAAAACUGCUACACUUUACAUGGAUUUCCUGCCAAAACAGCCAAUGUCUCCCAGGCAGAGACUACUGACUCCAAGUUCACUGAGGACGAGUAUCAAGAGUACCUAACAGCUUGGCACAGUCAUCUCAAGCUCCAAGUACAUCAACUGUUUGCAUCUCUCAAUCCAUGGAAGGUCACAAUUCAUGGGUAAUUGACUCUGGUGCUUCUGAUCACAUUUCUGGAGCGUGGCUCGGGGAGACCGAUUGGAGAAGGAUAUGAAGCGGGCGGAUUAUACCAUUUUGGAUCUCGUCCACGUGUGUCCUGUGUUGCAGCCCCCAAUCCUAAAAUGUUACAUGAUCGGCUUGGUCACCCUCACCUGUCCAAGUUAAAGAAAAUGUUUCCUGAACUUAGUCGUCUCCAGACUUUAGAAUGUGAGUCAUGUCAACUAGGAAAACAUGUUAGAUCUACCUUUCCUAAAAGAUCUCAAUCAAAGUGUACUUCUAGUUUUUCUGUCAUCCAUUCCGAUAUCUGGGGACCUAGUCGUGUCUCAUCUUUUGGCUUUAGGUAUUUUGUUACUUUCAUUGAUGAAUAUUCGAGAUGUACUUGGGUUUAUCUUAUGAAAGAUCGUUCUGAAUUA